rnacentral:rRNA from 1 species
UACAGAGGAGCCAAGCGUUGUCCGGAUUGACUGGGCGUAAAGCGCACGCAGGCGGUUGCGCGCGUGGGGUGUGAAAUCUGGCCGCUUAACGGCCAGGCGCCAUCCCAUACGGCGCGACUGGAGUGAUGCAGAGGUCGAUGGAAUUGCCGGUGUAGUGGUGAAAUGCGUGAGAGAUCGGGAGGAAUACCGGUGGCGAAAGCGACUCUCUGGACGGCAACUGACGACUGAGGCACGGAAAGCGAUGGGGGAGCAAACAGGG